CCUACGUGAGGCAGCAGUGGGGAAUAUUGCACAAUGGGGGAAACCCUGAUGCAGCGACGCCGCGUGAGUGAAGAAGUAUUUCGGUAUGUAAAGCUCUAUCAGCAGGGAAGAAAAUGACGGUACCUGAUUAAGAAGCUCCGGCUAAUUACGUGCCAGCAGCCGCGGUAAUACGUAGGGGGCAAGCGUUAUCUGGAUUUACUGGGUGGAAAGGGAGCGUAGAUGGCAGCACAAGUCUGGAGUGAAAUGCCGGGGCUUAACCCCGGAAAUGCUUAGGAGACUGUACAGUUAGAGUGCAGGAGAGGUAAGUGGAAUUCCUAGUGUAGCGGUGAAAUGCGUAGAUAUUAGGAAGAACACCAGUGGCGAAGGCGGCUUACUGGACUGUAACUGACGUUGAGGCUCGAAAGCGUGGGGAGCAAACAGGAUUAGAUACCCCAGUAGUC
rnacentral:rRNA from 1 species